GCUCCCAUGGUGUAGCUGGUUUGCACAUUGCUCUUAUACCUCCGUUACCAACGGGAGAUAUGCAAAGGUCGUGAGUUCAAUCCUCACUGGGAGCA
rfam:Colletotrichum gloeosporioides Nara gc5 unplaced genomic scaffold scaffold454, whole genome shotgun sequence.